rnacentral:rRNA from 1 species
AGAAUGAACGCUAGCGAUAUGCUUAACACAUGCAAGUUGAACGUUGUUUUCGAAUCAGAAUGAGAACAAAGUAGCGAACGGGUGCGUAACACGUGGGAAUCUGCCGAACAGUUUGGGCCAAAUCCCGAAUGAAUAAAAGCUAAAAAGCGCUGUUUGAUGAGCCCACGUAGUAUUAGGUAGUUGGUUAGGUAAAAGCUGACCAAGCCUACGAUGCUUAGCUGGUCUUUUCGGAUGAUCAGCCGCACUGGGACUGAGACACGGCCCAGACUCCUACGGGAGGCAGCAGUGGGGAAUCUUGGACAAUGGGCGAAAGCCUGAUCCGGCAAUAUGGCGUGAGUGAAGAAGGGCAACGCAGCUGUAAAGCUCUUUCAUCGAGUGUGCGAUUGUGACAAGACUCGAAUAAGAAGCCCCGGCUAACUCCGCGCCAGCAGCCGC